AAGUGAUGUUCUCUCUCAUUUGGCAGCAUUUAAUACGUGCUCGUGUGACGCCUGCUGCUUUUAAUCAAGCAUUUGUUUGAAUUAAAUAGUCAUUGCUCGGCUUUUUCUUUUAAUUGUGAAUGCUGGCUGGAUGCAUUAUGGAUGAAAGAUGCAAAGCAUCAUUUUCAUGCUAGCUCAAUUAUAUAUAUUUGGCUUGGAUUUGCUGUAGUUUGGUGUUAAAAGGCCCUGGCAGGGUGAGAUUUGAACUUGUUGUCAGUUUACAAGCUUUUUACUAAUUGCUAUACGUGGUUGACACAUUCUGUGUAAAUAUGUAUUUAUUUAAAUGAAUUCAAAUGCAUAUGUUUACAUGAUUAUCAAAGUACUUUUUUGGGCUUCAUAUGAACCAAAAUGUGUUUCUCUCUCUGUCCUCCAUGACCGUCCUCCGGCCGGAUCUGCUCCCUCCUCGCUGUCUGUCGCUUGUGGAUCUCCUCUGGGUUCCUCUGCCUUUCCUGCGGCUCUCAGAUUGGUGCCAAAAUUGCAAAGCACCUGAUCCCGGACAAGCCCCCAACUUAUAUUACAACCCUGUCAAGGGCUUGUAAAAGGAUGUAGCAUAAAGCACAGCUCUGGCAUCAAUCCUGUGGUGGAACUGAACUCUUCUACUCUGCAGUCGUUCUGACAGGCAGCAGGCUCAGUUGGCUGAGAUAUGCCAAGGUGAAGGAACCCCGAUGAUUUAUGUCACCACUGAAGUAGCCGAGCAUCUUAAUGAGGACAGCAGAGACUCAGGCUCAUGCAGAUGCUGGCAUCACAAACAAGUGAAGGACACAGAUGAUAAAACGAGGCCUGUUCUGCAUCUGCUCACUCAAGAACAAUUACAGCUAAAGUGACCAAAAGAAGGACAAAAACUACUACAACCAACUCCAUUUAUUGUUGUAAUAAUGUUAAAGAAUCCACUUUAAUAAAGACAUUUCUGUUGAGAUCA